GUCGUAACAAGGUUUCCGUAGGUGAACCUGCGGAAGGAUCAUUAUUGAAAUACUUCGGUAAAUCAGAUUGUGAUGAAUAUAUAUACCCUUAAUGUUGAUCUAUUACCAUGUUGCUUCCACCUGGUGGUUUGGUGCUGUGUGUGUGUGUGAUGUGUGUGUGUGUGUGGGUGCGUGCGUGUGUGUGGAGGGGGUGGCGCUGUGGGUAGUACAUUUUGCCUUGCUUUGCUUUGCUUGUAUGUUCUGCCACUGCCACUGCCACUGCCAUUGCCAUUGCCACCGCUACAGCCACCGCCAUCACCACCUCCCCACCCACCUCCUGGUGGAUGGCCUUUUAUACAUUCUUUAUAAAUAGCAUUGUAGUAUAUGUUUUUCUGAAAUUAUUUAUAUAUAAUAAAUUAAAACUUUCAACAACGGAUCUCUUGGCUCCUGCAUCGAUGAAGAACGCAGCGAAAUGCGAUAAUUAAUGUGAAUUGCAGAAUUCAGUGAAUCAUCGAGUCUUUGAACGCACAUUGCGCCUCUGGGUGUACCUUGAGGCAUGCCUGUCUGAGCGCCUGAAAGAAGCCUCUCAACAAUGUCUUUGUUAUUGAGAUAUUCGUUGGAUAGCAUCAAAGAAGUAUUUUUCUUUUUUUUCCUUUAUUAUGGGAGGAAAGGGAAACAAAACUCUUUGUAAAUGUAUGGUUAGGGUUAAUUCUGUAGAUACCGAAUUAUGGGAGACUUUUUAUUGUCAAGUAUUGGUUUAUAUAUCUAUGANNNNUAUCCUUNNCCAUUUAGUUUUUCUUUGGAAAAAAGAAAAAUUAUAAAAAAACAUGAACUGGGCCUCAGAUCAGGUAGGGAUACCCGCUGAACUUAAGCAUAUCAAUAAGCGGAGGAAAAGAAACCAACAGGGAUUGCCUCAGUAACGGCGAGUGAAGCGGCAAAAGCUCAGAUUUUAAAUCUAGUGUCCUUUGGACAUUCGAGUUGUAAUCUGUAGAGAGGUGUUCGAGUAGUGUCUAGGCUCAAGUUCCUUGGAACAGGAUGUCAUGGAGGGUGAGAAUCCCGUGAAUGGCCUUGAAUCUUACUGCUCAUUGUGAACCUUCUUCAACGAGUCGAGUUGUUUGGGAAUGCAGCUCUAAAUGGGUGGUAAAUUUCAUCUAAAGCUAAAUACUGGCAGGAGACCGAUAGCGCACAAGUAGAGUGAUCGAAAGAUGAAAAGAACUUUGGAAAGAGAGUUAAAUAGUACGUGAAAUUGUUGAAAGGGAAGCACUUGCUCCCAGACUUGCCUGUAGCUGAUCAGCCUUCAUUCUUUGUGGGUGCACUCGGUUAAUUUGGGCAGGCCAGCAUCAGUUUAGACAGAGGGAAAAGGCCUAGGGGAAUGUGACUCUCUUUGGAGAGUGUUAUAGCCUCUGGUGUGUAAUAUCUCUAGUCCUGGACUGAGGACCGCGCUUUGAUUUUUAUUUUUGAAGUGAGGAUGCUGGCAUAAUGGUCGUAAGUGACC
rnacentral:rRNA from 1 species